rfam:Schistosoma rodhaini strain Burundi genome assembly, scaffold: SROB_scaffold0002697
AUCCAGCUGACGAGUACCAAAUAGGACGAAAUGUGCGUCUUGGAU